GCAAGACCGGUGCCAGCCGCCGCUGUAACACCGGCGGCCCGAGUGGUAACCGUUAUUAUUGGGUCUAAAGGGUCUGUAGCCGGCCGAAUAAGUCUCUUGGGAAAUCUGGCAGCUUAACUGUCAGGCAGUCAGGGGAUACUGUUCGGCUUGGGACCGGGAGAGGUGAGAGGUACUUCGGGGGGUAGGGGUGGAAUCUUGUGAUCCUCGAGGGACCACCAGUGGCGAAGGCGACUCACCAGAACGGGUCCGACGGUAAGGGACCAAAGCUAGGGGCACGAACCGGAUUAGAUACCCGGGUAGUCCUAGCCGUAAACGAUGCUUGCUAGGUGUCAGCCACGGUGCGACCGUGGUUGGUGCCGUAGGGAAGCCGUGAAGCAAGCCGCCUGGGAAGUACGGCCGCAAGGCUGAAACUUAAAGGAAUUGGCGGGGGAGCACUACAACGGGUGGAGCCUGCGGUUUAAUUGGAUUCAACGCCGGAAAGCUCACCGGGGGCGACAGCGAUAUGAAGGUCAGGCUGAAGACCUUACCCGAUUAGCUGCAGAGGUGGUG
rnacentral:rRNA from 1 species